GCUGAGCAUCGCUGGGACGGGGGUGGCCGAGGGGAGGUGGCGUUCCUGGCCGGACCCGCUGUCCCCAGGCGCUGCUUGGGGCGCGCCGCUUCGUGCGGGGUGUGCGUUCUCCCCGCGGCCGGCCCUGCGCGGCCCGCCCUGGGCGCGGCCCCACACGCUUCCUCCCACACCGAGGAACAGUGGCGAGAGGCUGCGGGCGCCGCUUGUCGCCUGCGCUCAGCUUCGGGUGGGGAGGGCUGUCCCUGCCGUCCCGCUCCCCGCGCGCCGCCCCUCAGGGGCUGAGGCGCCACGGCGGCACAACGCUGAGGCGGCGGCGGCCCUGCGGGGCGGCACGUACCGGGAGCGUGAACCUCGGCUUGGGUUUUACCGCUAUGACUGGUGGUAACAGCGGGAGCUUGUUUAAAUACACUUAGUAUUCACAGCUGUCACAUUGAUGUCAUAUGAGUAACAGCUUUGAGGCAGGUUUAGAGUCCAUAUUACCAGCUUCUGGAGAAUUGGAGCCUACUGUCGAUCAGUGGACAUUCUGCGUUUCCCUCUUACCAAGCAUUAACUGGGUAAUCUAAGGAGAUUCCAAAUGAAGACUCAUCUCCUGCACAUUUCCUUAUUGUUGGAAUUACCUGUUUUAGUGAGUUUUCUGUUUUCAUACACCACUGAGCUUCAUUUCCUUCUGAACAUACAAGCAACCAGCCAGCUGAAGAAGACACAUGCAGAGGAGAUGGAAAAAAAAGCAUGAGAAAUCUGACCUUAACCUACUCUCUUGCUGGGUUCAGGCUUUUUACCUCAAGAGAUACCCAUCAUGGUGUAAAAAUCAUCACAUUCCCACCAUUGUGUAAGACCAACUUCGGGAAGAGAAGUAAUUUACUUACAAAAAUCUUGUUUUCCAUAGCCAGCUAUUUCACACUACCUGCUGAAUCUGCUCUGUGGAAUCUGGAUAUGAAUGAGAAGUGGAGCUCUAAUUAAGCAAAGCAGAAUGAGGAAGGAAAACUAAUCCCAUGUCGUGCAAACAAAAACCACCAAAAAACCCCAGGAUCAGAAAAGCCCCACUGAGCUGUGCCACUGCAUCAGGUCAACAUUGCAAUUAUUUAUGCUGUAAGAACAUAAGCAGUUCUUAAUCGUCACUGUCCCUAAAACAGGGAAGGAAACUUCACCCUCUCCACCAAGCAGUGCAGCAAAGAUGCAACAUCCAUCAAUUGCCCCUAUCAUUUUGGUGACCUUGGUACUUCACAUUUGUGCCAUAGAAUGAAAGCCAGAAAGUUUAUUCAACAAUGGAUUCUUGUUAUGUCCUUCAAGGUUUUCCCUCUGCUUUGCAGGCUGGCUAUGCCUUUCUCCAUGAAAUAAGAUUAGGCUUUUGAUAUACUUAAAACUUACAGACUCUAGUCCUGUGACAAGUGCACCCAAGGUUACUGUGAGGAAGAUGAGUAACUUCAUGUUGUUAGUUAACUUCUCCC